rnacentral:rRNA from 1 species
UACGGGGGGAGCAAGCGUUGUUCGGAUUUACUGGGCGUAAAGCGUGCGCAGGCGGUUCGCCAAGUCAGGUGUGAAAUCCCCGGGCUUAACCUGGGAAUUGCGCUUGAAACUAGCGGGCUUGAGUGUGGCAGAGGGGGGUGGAAUUCCACGUGUAGCAGUGAAAUGCGUAGAGAUGUGGAGGAACACCGAUGGCGAAGGCAGCCCCCUGGGUCAACACUGACGCUCAUGCACGAAAGCGUGGGGAGCAAACAGG